AUGCCUUGUAAAAAACGAUAACAUAAAAUGAAAACAGAAAAAAAAAAAUCAUAAACGGGUCCAAAAAAAUUAUAAAUGAUAAGGGAAUCAUCAUUUAUAUAGUGGCCUACGGGUGUAGUUGGGGAAUACGGGGGAUAGAGGCUUCAUGGAUUUUGCUGUUUGCUUCUCUCGAAACCAUGCUCUUAAUCAUCGUCUGCUUUUGCUCACUUCAGUUGUUUCGCCAUACCCUUGUGCAGUUUCACAGAUUUUAACACUUCCUUCUUCACCAGCUAACAAGGCUCUUCACCAUUUGAAGCUCAACCAUCCUCCCAGAACUUCUUCUGAAGGAAUUCCUCAUGAGUUAGCUGAAGAUUCAAAGUUUGUUCCUUUAAAUGCUGAUGAUCCCGAAUAUGGUCUACCUGCUUUGUUGUUUUUGGGCUUUCAAGUGGAGGAAGUUUUAAAGAUAAAACAGCUUUUGAAAGAGUUGGAUGGUGAAUUCCUUGAGGUCAUCUUUUGUACUGAAGACAUGAUUGAUCGUUCUCUCUGGGAAGCAAUGAAUACUAAGCAACCCAAUCUGGAAGCUGUAAAGAUUGCGAAAUCACUGCCACGGAUCUGUUUCUUUUCUGGUCUUAGUGGGGAGGAGAUGAUGAUGUUCAUUGAUGCUUUUCCAGAAACUGAUGUUGACGGUAAAAUCAUUAUUAAUCAAACCUGCAAAGAGGAUCACGGUAACUCGUAAUUUCAAACCACACCGAUUCCACUAUACCAACGGUCAAGAUCUCUGGGUCAUAAUCCGACGGGCGAGAUAACGUGGUCCAGCUUCCCUUCCAUACAAGCAAAGAGGCUCAUCAAGGACCUCAAUUUGUUCCCCGAACACGAUGUCAAUGUUAUUGAUUCCGCUGAUUCAAUCGAUUCGUCGGCUACCGAGUCGAAGAAGAUCGUGGAGAAGCGGU